UAGCUAAGUAUCUAAAAGCAUUUAACGUACCCAUAAUGACAUUGGUUGGUCUGCGCAUCCUACUGGGUUAGGUUGUACGAUCUCCAACCCGCUUGUCCACCUGUGCGGCCCCCUCGACUCUUCUGGGGCUGACUGCCACACCUAACUAACUAUACUAGGCCCUGCUACUAGAUGCUACUCUUUGAUUCUGUUGAUACAUAUGUUAUAGAGUACCUGCAUUACAGUCUGCUCGCUAAACUCGUCCAGAGCCCAUACUCUUUUCAUGUUUUGUUAAGGGAUAUUCUCGCUGCCAAUGAUUUAUCUAACCACACGUGUGACAUGUAGAAGUGCCCCGUCUGCAAUCACCAUUUUGGUGUUGUCUAGAUUGUCAACAAUAUGGACGACUUGCACUACUACCAGUACUACCAGACUAUCUGCUAUUAGAGAAACGAGAACUACCAGACAACCUCCCUCCAGAUCGUGGAGUGUUAGUGCUAGAAUUGCCACUAGAAGAAGCAAAGCUCUGUCCACUCUUCUUGAAUGGUCAACGGUCUCUCAGACCUCCCACUGAAAAUCUACCUCGUUGUCUGGACCCAAAUCAAUUGUAGCUACUACUACCAACACCAAGAUUAGUAAAAGUUUCUAUUCUCAAGGCUACCAGAAAUUCCUCAUUGUAAGUCCAACAAGGAUUGGAUGCGGCAGCCAUUCUGAUGUACUCAUUAAGUUCAAUAUGAAAUGAGUAAACAACUCAUCUAGGUCUUUUUCUAUGGCAAGGCAAUACUUUGGGAGUUCACUAUACUUCCUCUCAUACUCCGACACUCAUAUUACCUUGUUAUAGAUCCAAAAAUUCUUUUUUUUUUUUUUUUUUUUUUUUGGUUCUUGAACUCCGGAGAAAAGAACCUGACUUUGAAAUUAGUUUUGAAACCAUAGUGUUUCAAGGAAGCAUUUGCAUUUCAACAUUCCACUGAGAUCUUGCACUCUAGAUGAGGAAAAAUGUGGUUGUGGAAACCCAAUACUUCUCAAGGCAGUUAUUCAUGGUUUGCAAGAGGCGCUCCAUUUCCUCCAACCAAUUCUCUGCUUGAUCUCCAUCAUCACCUGCCCCGUCAAGGGUCAGUGCUCCCAUUCUACGUGCCAUCUCAAGGAAGGUGCGACCACCACCCUAACACUCUGAAAGCCUUGUGCAGUAGCAUCCCUAACUAAUCUAAGCCAGGAAAACUAUAUGGUGGAGUGAUUGUUUAACGUCGAGGUGGCAUUGCUCUAGCAAUAAAACAUAAGACACGUCCCAUACGGCACUAUAAGGUGCAUGAUUUCAGGAUUCCUAAAGCUAUGCUCUGAGACCAAUCAGACACGUCCCGACCCAGAUAUCCAUCUGAAUCAAGUCGUGUUGGCGGACACCUAUAAGGUGACGCAAGCCAAAACAUGCAUAAAGGAUAAGAAUUAAAAAUUCAAGUAGGGCCUUUCAAAAUUUUGGUGUAGUUUGCCUUAAAAUAUGAUUAAAACCAACAUGCAUACAUAAUAGUUCACAAAUAUUUCACAACUGAACAUCCCUAAAAGGCCAAACCAAACGGGUCUCAGGCCCUCCACUAUAAGCAUGUUCAUAGUUCAGAGCAUAAGUACUAAUGUGCAUGCGGAAGUUAAAGUAUUCAAAAGAAAUUCUAGAUGCUUUAUCCAUGCACAGAUGGAUUUAUUACAAAAAUUCUAUGACAAGGGUAAGGCUCCUUACAUUUUGGAAGUGUGUUAGAGCUGCCAACUUUGUAAAUCAUCAUCAUCAUAAAGCAAAAUCAUAAUCAUAAUAAUCCAAACCAACACUUACACCAAUGGUAAUGCAAAUCACAUGCCUAAGUCGGAACUCAAACCCAAAUGAUAUGUACCUUGCCGGGACUCUAACUGGAAUGUAGACAAUUGAAUCCAUAAUAAGAAACGAGUUGGGACUUUAAACAAUAAUAUGGAUAAGUUGGGACUCUAACUGGAAAUGUAGAGAAUUGAACCCAUAGUAAGAAACAAGUUGGGACUUUAACCCAUAAUAUGAAUAAGUUGACACUCUAACCCAAAAUGUGAAUAAGUUGGGGCUCUAACCCACCCCGAUGACUCUAACCCCAGAUACGAAUGGAGUUGGGCCUCUGACCCAACCAAGGGACUUUAACACAUAAUGAAUGUCAUGACAAUAAUGUAUUCUAUGGCCGUAGGAGAAAGAUACUAUAACAUAAGUACAUGUAUACCAAGUGGUGUAUAAGAUCAUAAAUCCAAUGGGGUGGAUUAUGCAUGAUCAUGCCUAUUAGUGAAACCAUUAUCUCAAAAAACCAAAUUCCCACAAUAGUUUGCAUAUCCAAAAUCAAACCAUAAUUCUCAAGUAUGAAGUAUCAACCAUAAUCAACAGUAAACCACGUAUAGACUUGAUGACAAGUGUAGUCAAAACCAUUCGAAACCAUUUGUAAUUAUAUAUAUAUAUAAGAAAACCAGAUAUAGGCAUGAUCAUAAUUAUAGUCAAAACCAUUCGAAAUCAUUUGUGAUUAUAUAGAAAUAUAAGGAAACCAUUUUAUGAAUACAAGGUCCACUCACAGGAACUUCGCUCUGUCCUUGUUGUGAGGAGGAUGCUCUCUUAAGUGUCUAGAACUGUCUAAAAGACCUUGCACCUACACAAAGCCAUUUUCACUCAGAAAGUAUUCAAGAUAUAAAGGUAAUUUAAUAUGGACAGAUUCUAAUGACUCGGUCUUCUAAUCUCAAAUUUACGUAAUUCUUUGCUCACUAUUUUCUAGCAUACAGACUCCAUCAUCAAAACCACACCAAAACCUUAGUAAUGUCGAGAAUAUUUCAAACACAUAACCUGCCCACUUCCACACUAGACCGCAACUUCUAAGAAUUACUUAAUUUCACAACAACACAGCAAAGUACACCAUUUACUAAACCUAGUUCUUAAACCCAAAAUAAAAGGGUUUAGGGUUUUUAGUAUUUUACCCAAAUCGUCCGUAUUCAUGUCCUAACUUGCAGCUGAGCUUCGAUUCCUCGUCCAGUCAACAAAUCGAGUCUAAAACUUCAACAAACAACCACAAUUAGAAUUAAAACCUUGAAUUUCGAAAAAGUCUUCAGAACCCAAAAGUUGAAAUCAAAAUAACCCACUUACAUAGGUAGAAAUCCCGUGAGGAGAGGAUCAACUUUAUCUGUUGGUCCGAGACCCAUUUUCCCGUCGGUUUGGCCAGAAAAUCGAAUUUUCCGGCGAAGGUGACUUAUUUCCUCGCCUUCAAUCUGCCUGGUGCAGUGGUUGUUCAGAGAUUCAAAGGUGACAAAAGUGUUUGGGCGCGACUACGGCAUGAAUUUUGAUAUAAGAUUAGUCGAAAUCGUUGUCCGAAUGAAAAAGAUAUGAUGGUUGGAGGUUAGGAGGGCAAAGGAGAGGAAAAAACAAGAACAGCAGCUUUGCUGCUGCUUCUGCACGAAGAGAAAAAGAAACGAAGCAAUUUGGCAGGGGAAAAUUUCUUUUUUCACUUUUUUAGUUUUUUUGUUCAAAAAAAAAAACAAAAUUAUUUAAGUUUUUAAUAUUCACGUGAGCAUUACAUCACCAGUUAACGACUAACUUAAUAGUCAGCUUAACGGAUGUAUAAGAUUGUUCCAAAAUUAAGACUUCAUGUAUGACUCUGAAAUAAAAAAAAACUUCGUAUACCAAAUGUCCUAAUAAAGUUAUUGCAUUCUUCUUUCCAAUUUUUUUAAAGAAAAAACAAUAAAAAUGACUCGAAACUUUAAGUUUUAACGAUAAAAACAAAAUAAAUGGUAAAAUGAAUUGUACCAUGAUUAACUUUUUAGUGUAAAAAUGAACAAUACCAAGAGUUUUUCGUUAAAAUUUCAUUUUUUCUAACUAAAAAAGAGAAUACAUUAUUCGAUUUAAUAUCAAGCAUGAAAAAAUAAAUGGGGUGUGCUAUCCACACACCAUACUUUACUUCUCACACACCUCUUGAUCAUUUAUGUCAGUUGAUUUUCUUUAAUUCAUACGAUCCGACAACCGAAAAUUAAAAAAGAUGCGUGAGAAGAAGUAAAAUAAGAUGUGUGAGCAUCACACCCCAAAAUAAAUGAACGUGCUUUUAUAGUUUAGUCUCAACUUUUAAUAUUAAACCUAAAGGUUAAUGAACGUUAAUCCUCGAGAAUUGGGUAAACCAAAAAUUGGGGCUUCAUGUGAAUUUGAGGAAGAAGAGGAAAGACUCGAAAGAGGAACUUACCUUUAGCGUCAAUAACACCAGGCUUACAAAUCAUCGUUAUAUUGUGAAGUUAGUUCACGAAUUUCACUUCGAUUCCAACACAUUUUGACUCUAACAUAGAAUAGAAAGCCGCUUUCCGGGGGAGAACUCUUGCUCACAAGCUCCGUCUAGCCAGAGUAGCAGCAGCAGGAAGGAUAGGAAGACCCGAUAGGGAAUACUCUGCCUAUUGUAUUUCUUGCUGCCGUAGACAACAUGUAACACGGUUGGAUGGCUCCCUCUAAACCAUGUUUUAAGUGUUCUGUUUUACCUCCUGUCUGCCAAAUCCAUCAAAUUCUAUCUAAAAUACUGAAAUUGGCAUGUGAAGAGCCUGUCUUAAUUGUAUAUGAGGCGCGAAAACAUAACUUACGAGCAUGCAAAACAGGAACCAGGAAAAAGUAUCAAACGACAAUGCAUGUUAUGAUCAAACUGUUUCAGUUUCAGGUCAUUGUCAACUCGGUUAAAUUUAUACAGUUUUCUCAAGUUAUAUACAUGCCCUACACACAGUAAGUACAACGAGCAACUUGAGCUGAGCUAGUUUCUUCAAUGAAG
rnacentral:lncRNA from 1 species